rnacentral:rRNA from 1 species
CAAAAAUGCACAUGCUGUGAGCUCGAUGAGUAGGGCGGGACACGUGGUAUCCUGUCUGAAUAUGGGGGGACCAUCCUCCAAGGCUAAAUACUCCUGACUGACCGAUAGUGAACCAGUACCGUGAGGGAAAGGCGAAAAGAACCCCGGCGAGGGGAGUGAAAAAGAACCUGAAACCGUGUACGUACAAGCAGUGGGAGCACAGAGCAAUCUGUGUGACUGCGUACCUUUUGUAUAAUGGGUCAGCGACUUAUAUUCUGUAGCAAGGUUAACCGAAUAGGGGAGCCGAAGGGAAACCGAGUCUUAACUGGGCGUUAAGUUGCAGGGUAUAGACCCGAAACCCGGUGAUCUAGCCAUGGGCAGGUUGAAGGUUGGGUAACACUAACUGGAGGACCGAACCGACUAAUGUUGAAAAAUUAGCGGAUGACUUGUGGCUGGGGGUGAAAGGCCAAUCAAACCGGGAGAUAGCUGGUUCUCCCCGAAAGCUAUUUAGGUAGCGCCUCGUGAAUUCAUCUCCGGGGGUAGAGCACUGUUUCGGCAAGGGGGUCAUCCCGACUUACCAACCCGAUGCAAACUGCGAAUACCGGAGAAUGUUAUCACGGGAGACACACGGCGGGUGCUAACGUCCGUCGUGAAGAGGGAAACAACCCAGACCGCCAGCUAAGGUCCCAAAGUCAUGGUUAAGUGGGAAACGAUGUGGGAAGGCCCAGACAGCCAGGAUGUUGGCUUAGAAGCAGCCAUCAUUUAAAGAAAGCGUAAUAGCUCACUGGUCGAGUCGGCCUGCGCGGAAGAUGUAACGGGGCUAAACCAUGCACCGAAGCUGCGGCAGCGACACUGUGUGUUGUUGGGUAGGGGAGCGUUCUGUAAGCCUGCGAAGGUGUGCUGUGAGGCAUGCUGGAGGUAUCAGAAGUGCGAAUGCUGACAUAAGUAACGAUAAAGCGGGUGAAAAGCCCGCUCGCCGGAAGACCAAGGGUUCCUGUCCAACGUUAAUCGGGGCAGGGUGAGUCGACCCCUAAGGCGAGGCCGAAAGGCGUAGUCGAUGGGAAACAGGUUAAUAUUCCUGUACUUGGUGUUACUGCGAAGGGGGGACGGAGAAGGCUAUGUUGGCCGGGCGACGGUUGUCCCGGUUUAAGCGUGUAGGCUGGUUUUCCAGGCAAAUCCGGAAAAUCAAGGCUGAGGCGUGAUGACGAGGCACUACGGUGCUGAAGCAACAAAUGCCCUGCUUCCAGGAAAAGCCUCUAAGCAUCAGGUAACAUCAAAUCGUACCCCAAACCGACACAGGUGGUCAGGUAGAGAAUACCAAGGCGCUUGAGAGAACUCGGGUGAAGGAACUAGGCAAAAUGGUGCCGUAACUUCGGGAGAAGGCACGCUGAUAUGUAGGUGAAGUCCCUCGCGGAUGGAGCUGAAAUCAGUCGAAGAUACCAGCUGGCUGCAACUGUUUAUUAAAAACACAGCACUGUGCAAACACGAAAGUGGACGUAUACGGUGUGACGCCUGCCCGGUGCCGGAAGGUUAAUUGAUGGGGUCAGCGCAAGCGAAGCUCUUGAUCGAAGCCCCGGUAAACGGCGGCCGUAACUAUAACGGUCCUAAGGUAGCGAAAUUCCUUGUCGGGUAAGUUCCGACCUGCACGAAUGGCGUAAUGAUGGCCAGGCUGUCUCCACCCGAGACUCAGUGAAAUUGAACUCGCUGUGAAGAUGCAGUGUACCCGCGGCAAGACGGAAAGACCCCGUGAACCUUUACUAUAGCUUGACACUGAACAUUGAGCCUUGAUGUGUAGGAUAGGUGGGAGGCUUUGAAGUGUGGACGCCAGUCUGCAUGGAGCCGACCUUGAAAUACCACCCUUUAAUGUUUGAUGUUCUAACGUUGACCCGUGAUCCGGGUUGCGGACAGUGUCUGGUGGGUAGUUUGACUGGGGCGGUCUCCUCCUAAAGAGUAACGGAGGAGCACGAAGGUUGGCUAAUCCUGGUCGGACAUCAGGAGGUUAGUGCAAUGGCAUAAGCCAGCUUGACUGCGAGCGUGACGGCGCGAGCAGGUGCGAAAGCAGGUCAUAGUGAUCCGGUGGUUCUGAAUGGAAGGGCCAUCGCUCAACGGAUAAAAGGUACUCCGGGGAUAACAGGCUGAUACCGCCCAAGAGUUCAUAUCGACGGCGGUGUUUGGCACCUCGAUGUCGGCUCAUCACAUCCUGGGGCUGAAGUAGGUCCCAAGGGUAUGGCUGUUCGCCAUUUAAAGUGGUACGCGAGCUGGGUUUAGAACGUCGUGAGACAGUUCGGUCCCUAUCUGCCGUGGGCGCUGGAGAACUGAGGGGGGCUGCUCCUAGUACGAGAGGACCGGAGUGGACGCAUCACUGGUGUUCGGGUUGUCAUGCCAAUGGCACUGCCCGGUAGCUAAAUGCGGAAGAGAUAAGUGCUGAAAGCAUCUAAGCACGAAACUUGCCCCGAGAUGAGUUCUCCCUGACUCCUUGAGAGUCCUGAAGGAACGUUGAAGACGACGACGUUGAUAGGCCGGGUGUGUAAGCGCAGCGAUGCGUUGAGCUAACCGGUACUAAUGAACCGUGAGGCUUAACCUUACAACGCCGAAGGUGUUU